AGAGUUUGAUCCUGGCUCAGAUUGAACGCUGGCGGCAUGCCUUACACAUGCAAGUCGAACGGCAGCACGGACUUCGGUCUGGUGGCGAGUGGCGAACGGGUGAGUAACAUAUCGGAACAUACCCUAGAGUGGGGGAUAACGUAGCGAAAGUUACGCUAAUACCGCAUACGAUCUAAGGAUGAAAGUGGGGGAUCUUCGGACCUCAUGCUCAUGGAGUGGCCGAUAUCUGAUUAGCUAGUUGGUGAGGUAAAGGCUCACCAAGGCGACGAUCAGUAGCUGGUUUGAGAGAACGACCAGCCACACUGGAACUGAGACACGGUCCAGACUCCUACGGGAGGCAGCAGUGGGGAAUUUUGGACAAUGGGGGCAACCCUGAUCCAGCGACGCCGCGUGGGUGAAGAAGGCCUGCGGGUUGUAAAGCCCUUUCGUUGGGGAAGAACGGUGUCGACCUAACACGUCGAUACCUUGACGUUACCCAAAGAAGAAGCACCGGCUAACUCUGUGCCAGCAGCCGCGGUAAU
rnacentral:rRNA from 1 species